rnacentral:rRNA from 1 species
CAGCAACGCCGCGUGGGGAUGACGGCCUUCGGGUUGUAACUCUUUCCGGGACGAUAAUGACGGUACCCGGGAAUAAGUCACGGCUAAACUACGUGC